rnacentral:rRNA from 1 species
UUUGAUCAUGCUCAGCAUAGCGUAAGCGUGCUAAUCAUGCAAGUCGAGCGAUGAUGAGAGCUUGCUCUCAAGAAGUUAGCGGCGGACGGGUGAGUAACACGUGGGUAACCUGCCCAUAAGACUGGGAUAACUCCGGGAAACCGGGGCUAAUACCGGAUAACAUUUUGAACUGCAUGGUUCGAAAUUGAAAGGCGGCUUCGGCUGUCACUUAUGGAUGGACCCGCGUCGCAUUAGCUAGUUGGUGAGGUAAACGGCUCACCNGGGGGCAACGAUGCGUAGCCGACCUGAGAGGGUGAUCGNGCAACACUGGGACUGAGAACAACGGGCCCCAGACUCCCUACCGGGGAGGGCCAAGCCAGGUAGGGGAAAUCUUUCCGCAAUUGGGACGGAAAGUUCUUUGAACCGGGAAGCCAAACCCGCCCGGCGUUUGAGGUUGGUUUUG